GCGAUAAGCCACGGGAAGCCGCAAGCAGGCGUUGAUCCGUGGAUCUCCGAAUGGGACAACCCAGCCGCUUUAAUCGGCGGUUAUCGACCGGAUGAAUUCAUAGUCCGGCGAAGCGAAACGGGGUGAAGUGAAACAUCUCAGUAACCCCAGGAAAAGAAAACGAAAUGAUUCCGUCAGUAGUGGCGAGCGAACGCGGAAAAGCCCAAACCGGGAGGACUUGUCUUCCCGGGGUAGCGGGACCCUGAUAUGAGCGAUGGAAAGCGAGCUUAACCCUUUGGAAAGAGGGGCCAUAGACCGUGACAGCCGGGUGAGCGAAGCUUGAAGUCAUCUAGGGGUAUCCCAAGUAGCGCGAUGCACGUGAAACUUUGCGCGAAUCUGUCCGGACCACCGGAUAAGGCUAAAUACUCCUUGGCAACCGAUAGUGAACUAGUACCGCGAGGGAAAGGUGAAAAGAACCCCUGUUAGGGGAGUGAAA
rnacentral:rRNA from 1 species